rnacentral:rRNA from 1 species
UACCAGCACCCCGAGUGGUCGGUACGACUAUUGGGCCUAAAGCAUCCGUAGCCGGUUUUACAAGUCCUCCGUUAAAUCCAGCUGCUUAACAGAUGGGCUGCGGAGGAUACUAUAAGACUAGGAGGCAGGAGAGGCAAGCGGUACUCAGUGGGUAGGGGUAAAAUCCGUUGAUCCAUUGAAGACCACCAGUGGCGAAGGCGGCUUGCCAGAAUGCGCUCGACGGUGAGGGAUGAAAGCUGGGGGAGCAAACAGG